rnacentral:rRNA from 1 species
CCCUGGUAGUCCACGCCGUAAACGAUGAGUGCUAGUUGUUUGGGGCUAUCCAGCCCUAAGUGACGCAGCAAACGCAUUAAGCACUCCGCCUGGGGAGUACGACCGCAAGGUUGAAACUCAAAGGAAUUGACGGGGGCCCGCACAAGCGGUGGAGCAUGUGGUUUAAUUCGAAGCAACGCGAAGAACCUUACCAGGUCUUGACAUACUCGUGCUAUUCCUAGAGAUAGGAAGUUCCUUCGGGACACGGGAUACAGGUGGUGCAUGGUUGUCGUCAGCUCGUGUCGUGAGAUGUUGGGUUAAGUCCCGCAACGAGCGCAACCCUUAUUGUUAGUUGCCAUCAUUAAGUUGGGCACUCUAGCGAGACUGCCGGUAAUAAACCGGAGGAAGGUGGGGAUGACGUCAAAUCAUCAUGCCCCUUAUGACCUGGGCUACACACGUGCUACAAUGGUUGGUACAACGAGUCGCAAGACAGUGAUGUCAAGCUAAUCUCUUAAAGCCAAUCUCAGUUCGGAUUGUAGGCUGCAACUCGCCUACAUGAAGUCGGAAUCGCUAGUAAUCGCGGAUCAGCACGCCGCGGUGAAUACGUUCCCGGGCCUUGUACACACCGCCCGU